rnacentral:rRNA from 1 species
AUACGGAGGGUGCAAGCGUUAUUCGGAAUCACUGGGCGUAAAGGACGCGUAGGCGGCUAUUUAAGUUGGAUGUGAAAGCCUAUGGCUCAACCAUAGAACUGCAUCCAAAACUAUUUGGCUAGAGUGUGGGAGAGGAAGAUGGAAUUAGUUGUGUAGGGGUAAAAUCCGUAGAGAUAACUAGGAAUACCAAAAGCGAAGGCAAUCUUCUGGAACAUUACUGACGCUGAGGCGCGAAAGCGUGGGGAGCAAACAGGAUUAGAUACCCUAGUAGUCC